rnacentral:rRNA from 1 species
UACGGAGGAUGCGAGCGUUAUCCGGAUUUAUUAGGUUUAAAGGGUGUGUAGGCGGUAUUUUAAGUCAGUGGUGAAAUCUUUCAGCUUAACUGAGAAACUGCCAUUGAUACUGGAAUACUUGAGUAUAGUUGAGGUAGGCGGAAUAUGUAAUGUAGCGGUGAAAUGCAUAGAUAUUACAUAGAACACCGAUUGCGAAGGCAGCUUACUAAACUAUUACUGACGCUGAUGCACGAAAGCGUGGGGAGCGAACAGGAUUAGAAACCCUAGUAGUCC